AGGAUGUUGGGUUAAGUCCCGUAACGAGCGCAACCCUUGUCCUUAGUUACCAGCACGUUAUGGUGGGCACUCUAAGGAGACUGCCGGUGACAAACCGGAGGAAGGUGGGGAUGACGUCAAGUCAUCAUGGCCCUUACGGCCUGGGCUACACACGUGCUACAAUGGUCGGUACAAAGGGUUGCCAAGCCGCGAGGUGGAGCUAAUCCCAUAAAACCGAUCGUAGUCCGGAUCGCAGUCUGCAACUCGACUGCGUGAAGUCGGAAUCGCUAGUAAUCGUGAAUCAGAAUGUCACGGUGAAUACGUUCCCGGGCCUU
rnacentral:rRNA from 1 species